AGAGUUUGAUCAUGGCUCAGGACGAACGCUUGCGGCGUGCCUAAGAAAUGCAAGUCGAGCGGAGGCGCGGACUUCGGUUUGCGUCUGAGCGGCGAACGGUCGCGUAACACGUAAGCAACCUGCCCGAAAGACCGGGAUAACGAGCCGAAAGGCGCGCUAAUACCGGAUGUGGCCGGGAGGAGACCUCUCUUCCCGAUUAAAACACUCAGAUUGGCUUUCGGAGGGGCUUGCGGCCUAUCAGCUAGAUGGCGGAGUAACAGCCCACCAUGGCGACGACGGGUAGCGGGUCUGAGAGGACGAUCCGCCGGACUGGGACUGAGAGACGGCCCAGACUCCUACGGGGGGCAGCAAUUAGGAAUCUUGUACAAUGGGGGCAACCCUGAUACAGCGACGCCGCGUGGAGGAGGACGGCCUUCGGGUUGUAAACUCCUUUUUGAGAGGAAGAAACACAUGACGGUACUCUCAGAAUAAGCCCCGGCUAACUCCGUGCCAGCAGCCGCGGUA
rnacentral:rRNA from 1 species